UUGGAAAGGAAAGAGAUGGUGGAGAAGCUGUGAGUGUGAGACGAAGGAGCUUAAUCAUGUGGGAGCAUCUUCUGGAUCUGAGCCCGGAAGACAAGCCCAGGCACGUUCUUUGGGCCGUGAUAAGCCCCCAUCCUCACUCAGGGGUCUGUCGCCGAAGCACUUAUGUUACACUGCCUGUCUGCUUUCUUCUUUUUUUCCACUCUGGAUAUUAUCAGCGCUGGAGGUUGAAGGACGGCGAGAUCGACGGCGCCCCCCCCCGUUCCUUGGCAGGUGUACUGCGACCUCGUGGCCGCCGCGAUGCAGGAUCGCCACGGCAACGCCGUGAGGCGCUCCCCGGCACGUCGUAGUUACCGGAAUCACCAUGACUCAGCAAACAACGGCCUCGUGAGGACCUUCUGGAAACUUCUGCUGGAGCCAGAGGCUGCCAAGACACCGGGCCGGGGAGGUGUUGCCUGGUCCGGAAUGCGGCUCUGAGUCACCUCAGGUGGGGCUGAGCGAAACAAAGGAGCAGACAUGCAGUCGGGCCGGUCGCGCCGGCAGCCUGCGCCAUGCAAAUGUGGACUGAUGGAAGGAAGCCGGAGGCAUCGCAGACGCCUUGGGUGAGAAACCUGAUCCAAGGAGAGCUGGUAUCGGUGCGGGUUUUUGGGAUGACCUCUCGAACAGCCGAUGGAUGGAUGGAUGGAUGGAGUUUGGCGGAUGAAAAAGGAGGGGAAAAAGAAAAACGAACAAGACCGCGAAGACGAACGGCGAGAGCUCACCGGCAAAACAACCUCUCUCUUUGAAGACUACUGAGGAGAGAAUCGGACUUCCAGCAGGAUAUAGGUCUGUGACGUCACAGGUUGGCAUGGAAUUUUCGGCAACGCUGAGAAUCACAAGAUUCUAUACCACACAUCUCGUUGGGGGUAAUAAAUCAUGUGGAAUGCUAGUAGUUCUCUGGCACCUGUUGAUGUAUCCUCUGUCAUUUCUAUCCUCUGGGCUCCCCUGUGCCAACCAUGCUCCAUGUGCUUAGUCCCUUGCAACUCGCGUAUGCCAUCUGUCCCUGCAGUGCAUAAUGCCCCCUCAUAAGCCAAGAUAAAUCACCCCCCAGCCAACUAAAGCGGGACAAGUAUGGAUUGG